CUUUUCUGUUGGUUCCAGAUUCAUCACAUUUGACCUUCAAUAUAUCACAGAGGAAAAAAAGUUGCUGACUCUGAGUACAGAGUAAACCGGAACUUCUCCCCGACCCCUGUC
rnacentral:lncRNA from 1 species